GGCCUCUCAUGCUCUCCACACUCUGUAUUCUUAUGCUGACAGUAUAUACAGAGGAGGCAGAGUAAACUGAUUCCCUAUACAGCUUAGCCAUUGUGCCUGAUCUGUAUUGUGAAUGGGGAUACACAA